rnacentral:rRNA from 1 species
AUUGAACGCUGGCGGCAUGCCUUACACAUGCAAGUCGAGCGGCAGCGCGGGGGCAACCCUGGCGGCGAGCGGCGGACGGGUGAGUAAUACAUCGGAACGUGUCCUUUCGUGGGGGAUAACCAGUCGAAAGACUGGCUAAUACCGCAUGAGAUCUCACGAUGAAAGCGGGGGACCGCAAGGCCUCGCGCGAUUGGAGCGGCCGAUGUCGGAUUAGCUAGUUGGCGGGGUAAAAGCCCACCAAGGCGACGAUCCGUAGCUGGUUUGAGAGAACGGCCAGCCACACUGGGACUGAGACACGGCCCAGACUCCUACGGGAGGCAGCAGUGGGGAAUUUUGGACAAUGGGGGCAACCCUGAUCCAGCCAUGCCGCGUGUGUGAAGAAGGCCUUCGGGUUGUAAAGCACUUUCGGCCGGAACGAAAUCGCGCGGAUUAAUAACCCGCGUGGAUGACGGUACCGGAAGAAGAAGCACCGGCUAACUACGUGCCAGCAGCCGCAGUAA